UACGAAGGGGGGCUAGCGUUGUUCGGAAUUACUGGGCGUAAAGCGCACGUAGGCGGACAUUUAAGUCAGGGGUGAAAUCCCGGAGCUCAACUCCGGAACUGCCUUUGAUACUGGGUGUCUUGAGUGUGGAAGAGGUGAGUGGAAUUCCGAGUGUAGAGGUGAAAUUCGUAGAUAUUCGGAGGAACACCAGUGGCGAAGGCGGCUCACUGGUCCAUUACUGACGCUGAGGUGCGAAAGCGUGGGGAGCAAACAGG
rnacentral:rRNA from 1 species